GAUUCAGCAAGGACCGUUUUUUUAAAAAUCGAUCUGUUAAAGAUGCUAUUACAGCUCUGGAGCAGGUGGGUCUUGAACCCAGGUUUCCUGGUCCAGAAAUAGGGGCACUACCACUGAACCACAACAGCAACUUAGCAAAAGCCCUUAAGAUGUUGUGGAAAGCACGCAGUAGAUGAUGUUGCCUUGUUCGGUGGAAUCCAAGUCCAAUUUGAGCAUUCCUUGAAUGUAAAUGCUGCAGUUAUGGGGAGAGUUGAUGCUAGUUUGGGGACCACCUUUCAGAUAUACCAUUGCAUUCCCUUUACUGCUACGAACAGUAUUAAACUGGGCUAGUUAUAGGAGAAACAAAUGUAAGAGGUCCUAAGACCAUUAAAAUCCAUGGAAGAAAUAGCUAAUAAAGGAAGAGGAAGUUGGCAGCUGGCAAGGAUUCCAGCUGCACUCUGUAACUAAACAAUCAAUGCAUACUUUGUGGAAGGGAGCACCCCUCAUCCAAAAGCAUUUAAAGCACUC